UGGUCAUUGGUUAUGUAUCCUGAUAUUUUUUGGCUUCUUUUACAGUACCUUUUUACCACAGCUGGUAAGGGGAGAGGUAUGAUUAGUCAACCGUCAGGAUUAAACGGCCCGACAGCCCAUCAACAAGUACACCAUCAAAAAAAAUUAGCUGUCCCGAAACAGGCCCAACAAUUGGCCCAGCAGGAGAGAAGUCGGCAGGCUCCAUCACGAGAGCAGUCGCCGGCCUCCCUCAACAUCGCGUUCUCCCUGGAGCGUGAUCGCCGCCGCCAUCCCGUCGGCGUCGUCCUUCACGGAGCGCAACCGUCGUCUCCAUCGACACCCUCGCGAGCCUCCGUCAACACCCUCGCCAGCCUCCGUCGUGUGACCGCCGCCGCCAUCACGGCAUCCCGUCGGCGUCGUCCUGCGCGGAGCGCAACCGCCGCCUCCGUCGACACCCUCGAGAUCCCGUCGUCCCGCGUGGAGACCGCUGCCGCCAUCGACACCCCGUCCUCCUGCAUCUAGGGCGACCGCCGCCACCAGCGGAUCGGCCCGGUCCUGCAUCGCCGGCACCAGACAUGGAUGGUCAAGGCCCUGGCGACGAGGAGAGUGAAGAGUAUCUCCUCGUGAUUUGCUCGAGCACUCUCAGUAUUACAAGUCACGUAUCCGUAUGAAUGAAGAGGAGCUGGAUGCCAAAGCUUCGCAGUCGGUACCUUUCACUAAAAUAUCUGAUCACCCACUGUUGAAAAGUGCUGCCCGUAUUUAUACUCCGGUAAUGUUCAAGAUGGUAAAGGAGCAGAUCAUGAAAUCUGAUGAAUGGGAGAUUGGUGAGGUGACCCAGCAAGAUGCCUUUGGUUUUAGUUGUAUUGUAGUCAGUAAAUGGGGCAAUCAUGAUGUGACGUGUGUUUUUCGCGAGACCUUGAUGGAGAGCGUGUGCUGCCACUGUCGGAAGAUGCAGCGUGAGGAAAUCCACUGUGCACACGUAUUUCGUGUUCUGAAACACCUAGGCUUCCGCGACAUACCUCGCUGAUGUAUUGCCGUCAGAUGGACAAUGCAAGCUAAAGCUGGUUUGGAACCCGAGGGCAAUAACAGUAGACAUGUUUGGUCUGAACAGAUGGAUCGGUACCGCGAACUCCGAAACAAGGCGAAUACAUUUCUAUUCAAAGCUUCAUUGAGCAUCCAGGAAUCACAUAGAGUGAUGGAAUUUUUUAACACUAUUUCGUUGGAUGACGACGAGAAUGCUGAGGCUGGCGAGAAUGAUGUCAAUACUGCUUCCAGAACAUUUGGUCCGUUGUCUGCAUAUUUUCAGGGGCAAACCAAGCUUUUACUGGGAAAGUUCUCGAUCCAAUUCCGAGGCAGACAGCAACAAGGCUGAAGUGAUGUGGUUUUGAUUAAAAUUCAACCUUGCCAUUUGUGCUUAAUGUAUUUUUACUUCUCCCCUGCUUUACCUGUCUCUUAUUCUAAUCCAUGUAACGGGAGAUGGAUUAGAUUAGACAAGCUGCUCCUGAGAAAAUAAAUAUCUGUGAAAAUGUGGGAGUUAUUAUUUUUCCUUUCCGCUAGAAUAAAUAUGUGGAUUUUGCCCGCCCGAGACAUGCUGCUCUGUAAUUUUUUCCUAGACCAGCUUCCUGGAAUUCAGUUAUGGGCUCAAAAAUUACAGUACAUCACCUAUAUCUCUGGUAUUCCCCUUCUUUGUAAA